GUCAGAAUGACAAAGCAAAAAUCCAGUCCUCGCGCAGCCCCGGCAACCUGUGCCUGUCGUCCCCGCAAAGUGAGAGCUCCUAAUUGGACCGUGCAACAUCCUCGCUGCCCGGAACCGCCCCCCGACCCAAAGGCCGCCGCUGCUAUUCAAAGAAUGUUGGGAACCAGAACCCAAAUGUGGUAUCGUAGCUCAGACAACGUCGAAAAAUCCUUCUGUUUCUCAACUAUCGUCUCGGCUAAGACCGGAGUCCUGCUGCCUCAACACCAAUGUAAACACCCAUCUGCAGAGGGUGCCAGCUACAGUAAUCACUAUGGAACCUCCUUCUCUCUAGGGCCCUGAGAUCAAGUCCAGCUUUCUCAAUGGUCCAGACAAGGCAAGACCCACCCUUCUUUGGGGAGGUUUGUUUGUUUUGUUUGGUCAAAACAGAGUUUCUCUGUGUAACCCUGGCUGUCCUGGAACUUGCUCUCUGAACCAGGCUGGCCUCAAACUCAGAGAUCUGCCUGCCUCUGCCUCCCAAGUUCUGGGAUUAAUAAAGGUGUGUGCUGCUUCCCCCCAACCCUCACUCUUACCCCCUGGCUAAGAGCCACUCCUGUUAGUGCUGCUCACCCGUCCACAUCGUCUGUACCCUACUUGGGCAGCAAACCAUUGCUGGAGAAACACAGAGAGUAGGUCAGGACCACAAACCUCAAAUCUGUCCCUGCCAGCAAUCCUUUCUCCCUGUCAUAUUUCCCCAGCCGCCACAAUGACUCUUCCAUUUUUUCCUUCUUUUUCUUUUGAAUCUCUAACAGCACUGCCACAUCUUGCCCUCCCUCUGCUCAUGACCUGGUUUCAACUUUAAGAAACCAGAAUCCACCAGACAGGCCUUCCCAGCAUUUUCCCAGGAAAAUGGCUCCCAGUAGAAGAAAACCAAGGUUUGUGGCCAUUGGCUCUUGCCAUCUCCAUUCAACAUCUCCCUUGGUCACCGUCAAUUUCUUGUUCCGUGCCUGAUCAUUUCUGUCGUCAUGCAAACACACUGUGCACCUCUCGUUCCAAGAAAGCUGUCGCCGCAUCCUUUCACAAGGCAAUUGGGUGAGGCGGGUGUUGGAAGAGCUCUCUACACUCCGAAGAACAAUAAAGGAAGCAAAAAAGCAGGAAACUGUCUGAGGAUGUGCCUGCUAAAGGGAAAAGAUGGCGUGCACCAUGCAUGGGACACAAGAAACAAAGAAGUGCCAAGGGGAGAGCUCACUGCACUCACCCAGUGGGGCAGCCAGAGAGCCAGGACGACAUGGUAGAAAGGAAGCAAAAAGCCAGGAGGGGAAAAGGCAGAAGCUGUAAAGGCUUGAACUAGUGAGGCAGCACCUGCCUCUGAGGGUAAACACGGGUUAGGAAUGGGAGAAAGUGAGAGAUGAGAACCUACGAUCCAGAUGUCGGCCUUGGCAGCUGGACAAAGAGAACGGAGCUGAGAACGGUGAGAGGAGCUGAGUUUGUUGGCCCUCAGCUACGAGAACAGGGCCGAGGCUACCCCAGCGCUAUAAUACUGAGCUACCUCACCAGCAAAAUGUCCCAGGCGGAGCAAGCAACAGGCAAAAAGGACGUGGGGUUUUAUGCUGUAGAAAUCUUCCCAUGCUGUUAGGCUGCUGUGAAUCAUGUUUAUGGACGACUAAUGGCGCGGGAGUCAGCCAUGCUCUGACGAUGUCUCAGGAACCGAGGGAGGCGUUUUAUAGGAACUCUCAUCCCAUCUCCAUGUUACAGGUGAGGGAACUAGAACCUCCAGAGCCCUCGACUUGUGACUGUGACUAAUGGUCACGACAAAGCAGGACUCGACUCACUUACAGAGAAGAGAAGGCUCCUUCAUGCUGGUUUAGUAGUGUGAGACCAACUGACUCAAUAAAGUUGACACUAUGGAGAUCUUCAUCUAAAUCUGCUCAAUUCACAACUAAACAGUUGGAGAAGGGGGCAUUAAUUAAUUACUACAGUAUAGACAGUAUUACCUUGAUUUGAAUAUUACCUGAAUUUGAACAACCCGACCAGAGUGGACGAGGGCUGGAUGGACCUCAGUAGUAACAAACUUGCCUCCCAUAUACAAGUGCCUGGGUUUGCCCCCAGCCCCACAGGAAGAUAAAAUAAGGAGAACAACCUAGAUGGGACAUACUAUUUCCUUCUGGCAUGAACUGGACCCCGAUGUGUAUGGUACAGCGAUGUGUUUUCUUUGUUCUACUUAAGAGCAUCCUUUUGAGAAAUAGGAAGGUUGUUUUCAGCCCGACUCCGGGUACGUUUGGGUACAGAAAUGUGCCCAAGAAGAGGAAGAUAUGUAUAAAUUCUUAUGUGAGUGUUAUGAUAUCACUGAUAUCCACUCCUCUUCAUCCAUUUAUACAAGAGCAGAACACACACUGGAAAAGCAGAGGCAGGAGGAUGACUGUUUGAGUCUAGUCCUGGGCUACAAAAAGAGCUCCAGGCCAGCCUGGGCUACAAUGUGAAACACUGUCUCAAAAAAAAAAAAACAAAAACAAAAACAAAAAAUAAAUGAAAGUAAAGAGCAAAGCACAUCCUGAGACCCCAGCAAGUGUAG
ensembl:lncRNA